rnacentral:rRNA from 1 species
UACAGAGGUCUCAAGCGUUGUUCGGAUUCAUUGGGCGUAAAGGGUGCGUAGGCGGCGCGGUAAGUCGGGUGUGAAAUCUCGGAGCUUAACUCCGAAACUGCAUUCGAUACUGCCGUGCUUGAGGACUGGAGAGGAGACUGGAAUUUACGGUGUAGCGGUGAAAUGCGUAGAUAUCGUAAGGAAGACCAGUGGCGAAGGCGGGGUCUCUGGACAGUUCCUGACGCUGAGGC